CUCUCGAGUCACUCCGGCGCUGCUCUUGUGCCGUGUGUAUGUUGGACAGCCAGCCAACCUUGCUUUCUAAUACCUGUGAGCCUUUCUUUUCAAGAUGCCUGAGGAAGUGCACCAUGGAGAGGAGGAGGUGGAGACUUUUGCCUUUCAGGCAGAAACUGCCCAACUCAUGUCUCUCAUCAUCAAUACCUUCUAUUCCAACAAGGAGAUUUUCCUUCGGGAGUUGAUCUCUAAUGCUUCUGAUGCCUUGGACAAGAUUCGCUGUGAAAGCCUGACAGACCCUUCCAAGUUGGACAGUGGUAAAGAGCUGAAAAUUGACAUCAUCCCCAACCCUCAGGAACGUACCUUGACUUUGGUAGACACAGGCAUUGGCAUGACCAAAGCAGAUCUCAUAAAUAAUUUGGGAACCUUUGCCAAGUCUGGUACUAAAGCAUUCAUGGAGGCUCUUCAGGCUGGUGCAGACAUCUCCAUGAUUGGGCAAUUUGGUGUUGGCUUUUAUUCUGCCUACCUGGUGGCAGAGAAAGUGGAUGUGAUCACAAAGCACAACGAUGAUGAACAGUAUGCCUGGGAGUCUUCUGCUGGAGGUUCCUUCACUGUGCGUGCUGACCAUGGUGAGCCCAUUGGCAGGAGUACCAAAGUGAUCCUCCACCUUAAAGAAGAUCAAACAGAGUACUUAGAAGAAAGGUGGGUCAAAGAAGUAGUGAAGAAGCACUCUCAGUUCAUAGGCUAACCCAUCACCCUUUAGUUGGAGAAGGAACGAGAGAAGGAAAUUAGUGAUGAUGAGGCGGAGGAAGAGAAAGGUGAGAAAGAAGAGGAAGAUAAAGAUGAUGAAGAAAAGCCCAAGAUUGAAGAUGUGGGUUCAGACGAGGAGGAUGACAGUGGUAAGGAUAAGAAGAAGAAAACUAAGAAGAUUAAAGAGAAAUACAUUGAUCAGGAAGAACUCAACAAGACCAAGCCUAUUUGGACUAGAAACCCUGAUGACAUCACUCAAAAGGAGUAUGGAGAAUUCUACAAAAGCCUCACCAAUGACUGGGAAGACCACUUGGCAGUCAAGCACUUUUCUGUAGAAGGUCAGUUGGAAUUCAGGGCAUUGCUAUUCAUUCCUCAUCGGGCUCCCUUUGACCUUUUUGAGAACAAGAAGAAGAAGAACAACAUCAAACUCUAUGUCUAUCGUGUAUUCAUCAUGGACAGCUGUGAUGAGUUGAUACCAGAGUAUCUCAACUUUAUCCAUGGUGUGGUUGACUCUGAGGAUUUGCCUCUGAACAUCUCCUGAGAAAUGCUCCAGCAGAGCAAAAUCUUGAAAGUCAUUUGCAAAAACAUUGUUAAGAAGUGCCUUGAGCUCUUCUCUGAGCUGGUGGAAGACAAGGAGAAUUAUAAGAAAUUCUAUGAGGCAUUCUCUAAAAAUCUCAAGCUUGGAAUUCACGAGGAUUCCACUAACUUAUGCUGCCUGUCUGAGCUGCUGCACUAUCACACCUCCAAGUACUGGAAAUUCUAG